rnacentral:sRNA from 1 species
UGUGUACCACGUCAUCCACCACCCGGAUC